AUCUUUACAUGCAAAUGCCAUCAAAAGGACUUUUCCAAGGCUUGUAAUGAGGUUGGGCUAACAAGAAAAAUUGGUUUUUCCAGAAUACAAAGUCCUUGAGUUAAGAGAGCUUUCAAAAUAUUCAACAAUUUAAGUACAACUCUCUUCCUCACCAAUCUCACUUAUUCCCAACUUUUUCCCCUUUUCUUUUUCAUUGAGCUCUUUUUCAUGCUUUUCUUCUUUUCUUUUCUUUUUCUCAUGAAUUUUUCUUUUCACAACAUUUGAGCUCAAUGUUUCACAAUUUCUUUUCAAUUUUCCCCCACACAACCCCAAACUUGAACCUUUUCACUCAUACAUUUAAGCUCAUCCCAACUCAAGUUAAAGAAUGUCAAAACA
rnacentral:lncRNA from 1 species